AGUAACACGUGAGUAACCUGCCUUAGACAUAGGGAUAGCCUCGGGAAACCGGGAAUUAAUAACCAAAUAGAAAUCACAUAUGCACAUGCAUAAAUGAUCAAAGCUCCGGCGGUCUAAGAUGGACUCGCGUCCCAUUAGCUAGUUGGUGAGGUAACGGCCCACCAAGGCGACGAUGGGUAGCCGGCCUGAGAGGGUGAACGGCCACAUUGGGACUGAGAUACGGCCCAGACUCCUACGGGAGGGAGCAGCC
rnacentral:rRNA from 1 species